rnacentral:sRNA from 1 species
GCAGAAUUCAGUGAAUCAUCGAAUCUUUGAACGCAAAUGGCGCUCUUGGGUUCUCCCAGGAGCAUGUCUGUCUGAGUGUCUUUUUCGUUGAAUGACAUUCGCACGAUGUGGCCGUGUCAUGCACUGGCGUUUCGUGCGGCGUUGAGGUUCGCGGCCUUGCUAUUCUUAGGCCGCGUGCCUUUAAAUGGAGGAGGAAGAUGGGCUCAAGGUCCGGUGCAGUCGCAUGCGGAUUCAGUUCAUGUGCCGCAUGUGACUGCUGCACCGGGAAUAUUGUCCUCGGCCCUCUACCUCGUGACCUUUAGCACGACGCUCGUUCGUUCGUUGCUUGCCGCCAGACCUCAGAUCAGGCAAGGCUACCCGCUGAAUUUAAGCAUAUCAAUAAGCGGAGGAAAAGAAACUAACAAGGAUUCCCCCAGUAACGGCGAGUGAAGCGGGAAGAGCUCAAAUUUGAAAUCUCCGAUGCCUGCAUCGGCGAGUUGUAGUUGCGAGAAGCACUUUCUAGGCGGAAGGGCCCUGCCUAAGUUGCUUGGAACAGCACGUCGCAGAGGGUGACAACCCCGUCU